ACGCUCUCACACGUUUAUUUUUUAGCAUUUGUGGGAGGAGUGAAAUUUACAUAUGUGGUUUCAACAACCAGAUGCAUUUACACUUGUCCAGUUUCACCUCCUCCUGAUGUGGUUUGAGCGAUCGGAUUCAAAUCCGUCUCGAAUGUGUUUCGGAGGGCAUUUACACCUGGUCUUUUCACGAUCGGAUAGCUAUCCAAUCACAGAAAACGCAUGAAGUGGCCAGGUGUAAACAGCCCCUUAG